AUUGAACGCUGGCGGCAUGCCUUACACAUGCAAGUCGAACGGCAGCACGGGAGCAAUCCUGGUGGCGAGUGGCGAACGGGUGAGUAAUACAUCGGAACGUGCCCAAUCGUGGGGGAUAACGUAGCGAAAGCUACGCUAAUACCGCAUACGAUCUACGGAUAAAAGCGGGGGAUCGCAAGACCUCGCGCGAAUGGAGCGGCCGAUGGCAGAUUAGGUAGUUGGUGAGGUAAAGGCUCACCAAGCCUGCGAUCUGUAGCUGGUCUGAGAGGACGACCAGCCACACUGGGACUGAGACACGGCCCAGACUCCUACGGGAGGCAGCAGUGGGGAAUUUUGGACAAUGGGCGCAAGCCUGAUCCAGCAAUGCCGCGUGCAGGAUGAAGGCCUUCGGGUUGUAAACUGCUUUUGUACGGAACGAAACGGUCCUUUCUAAUACAAGGGGCUAAUGACGGUACCGUAAGAAUAAGCACCGGCUAACUACGUGCCAGCAGCCGCGGUAA
rnacentral:rRNA from 1 species